ensembl:lncRNA
GUAUAGCUCUAUACACUAAAGAAUUCAUCCUGCUACUUCUAUCAGUAGUCACAUCAUCAAUAAACACCAGUGACCCGGUUCCACUGGCAGCCGUACAUGCUUAUGCCAUAAUUUCACAUUUUCGAAAUAUAUGACAUUAUAUAUAAUAUUUAUGAAGUUUUUAUUUAGAAUUUAUGGAGUAUUAUGGAAUAUCUAUGGAGUAUUAUGCAGUAUCAUGAAGUAUUAUGAAGUAUUAUGGAGUAUUUGUUAGUAUUAUAGAUUAUUAUGUAGUGUUUAUGUAGUAUUAUAGAUUAUUAUGUAGUGUUUAUGGAGUAUUAUAGAUUAUUAUGUAGUGUUUAUGGAGUAUUAUAGAUUAUUAUGUAGUGUUUAUGGGAUAUUAUAGAUUAUUAUGUAGUGUUUAUGGAGUAUUAUAGAUUAUUAUGUAGUGUUUAUGGAGUAUUAUGUAGUAUUUAUG